rnacentral:rRNA from 1 species
GACGAACGCUGGCGGCGUGCUUAACACAUGCAAGUCGAACGAUGACGACCGAGCUUGCUCGGUUUGAUUAGUGGCGAACGGGUGAGUAACACGUGAGUAACCUGCCCUUCACUCUGGGAUAACCUCGGGAAAUCGGGGCUAAUACCGGAUAUGAGCUCCUGCCGCAUGGCGGGUGUUGGAAAGUUUUUCGGUGUAGGAUGGGCUCGCGGCCUAUCAGUUUGUUGGUGAGGUAGUGGCUCACCAAGGCGAUGACGGGUAGCCGGCCUGAGAGGGCGACCGGCCACACUGGGACUGAGAUACGGCCCAGACUCCUACGGGAGGCAGCAGUGGGGAAUAUUGCACAAUGGGCGAAAGCCUGAUGCAGCAACGCCGCGUGAGGGAUGACGGCCUUCGGGUUGUAAACCGCUUUCAGCAGGGAAGAAGCGAAAGUGACGGUAACGGGAGAAGAAGCGCCGGCUAACUACGUG